rnacentral:rRNA from 1 species
UACGUAGGGCGCAAGCGUUGUCCGGAAUUAUUGGGCGUAAAGAGCUCGUAGGUGGUUUGUUACGUCUGCUGUGAAAACCUAGGGCUUAACCCUGGGCCUGCAGUGGAUACGGGCAGACUAGAGGCAGGUAGGGGAGAACGGAAUUCCCGGUGUAGCGGUGAAAUGCGCAGAUAUCGGGAGGAACACCGGUGGCGAAGGUGGUUCUCUGGGCCUGUACUGACGCUGAGGAGCGAAAGCGUGGGGAGCGAACAGG